rnacentral:tRNA from 1 species
GUAGUUUUAUUUUUACAACUUUUUUUUUCAACUUUUUUACUAAAAUCUUUUAUUUUCUUGAAAAACAAC